CACACGGCAAUCAUUUUGUACAACUACUCUGGUCAUGAGUAAUGUUAAUGUAACAUAUAAUGGAUCUUUCCAUUUUAUGGCUUCUCCUUACGUUUUCAACCCCAGUCUCUCGAAUCCUUGGUGCUUAAUAGAAAAAUCACGGUGCUAGUCAAUGUAGGUUAUGAGGAAUGGCCUGACAUGAAUGAGCCUACCCAGUCUUAUCUUGUGUAACUUAACAGUUGAAGUAGUAAUAAUUGCAGCAGGUUUUUGAUGUUCACCUAUUGUUGCCAUGCAUAAAAGAUUUAAAAAAACAAGAUAAAUAUUGGUAGGAUGUUGGUGCUCAAAUUUGACCAUGUGAUAUUGUGAUGCGAUUCUAACUUCUGCCUGGUCUGACUCCUGUGUGUACGGUGAGGAGCGCAGAUCUGCUGCCUUUUGUAGUUCUGUAUGCUAAUGGGAAACCAUCCGAUGAAGGCCCUUGUGUUUCGCUGAGGUAUGUGCAUUAAUCUUGACAUCGUUGUCAGCCGAAACUGUGUCCCUUACAUUCUACUCCCUCCGUUCCUAAAUAUUUGUCUUUCUAGAGAUUUCAAGAAGUGACUACAUACAGAGCAAAAUGAGUGAGUCCACGCUCUAAAAUAUGUAUAUAUACAUCUGUAUGUAGUAGUCCGUUUGAAAACUCUAAAAAGACAAAUAUUUAGGAACGGAGGGGGUAAUAUUCUAUACCUGAUACUUACGUUACCAAUUCUAUACCUGAUACUUACAUUACCAAUUCUUUUGAGCUUUGGUCUGCACAUCCUUUGUAUCAAUAUCGUUGUGUUCCCAAGUUGUGACUCUUACACAAGUACUUACGGCAGUUUUCAACCCUUGUUGACUGUUUCAUUGUUUGUUUGCAUAACUUUCCUGUUCUUACUGAGCUAGAGAUUACAUGCUAGAAUCUGCAUGCAGAAUAGAGAAUACAUCCCUUUGCUCUAUUCUUUUCUGCUAUGUUUCACUUCCAGUAGGUUGUGUGUUAACUAUUGUUUAUAUAUCACACAUCUUGCAAAUAUAAGUGUAGCAUUUAUUCAUUUCAUAUCCAGCAUCUGCCAGGUAACUUUUACCUGAAUAUUGACAUAAGUGCCUCGUAUUGCUACUACUAUUUUUCCUUUUUUUUAGUAUUUUAGUGCAUCAACUUUGUUCCCUAGAUGAUUGAUUUGAGACUUUCUACAGUUAGCAUAAUCCCUUAUUUUGUUUGUCUCACUAUCCUAAAAUAUGUCAGUGUUAUAGCACGAAAUUAACACUUGUUUGGUUGUGGGCUUGAAAUAAACAAUGGCGCUUCUUUUUGCAGGUUAUUUGUUUGACAUGCAUGACCGAUACCCAGUCAAAUUGGACCUCCAGUUCCUUCCUGGUCCGUCCAAGGUAAACCGAUGGCUCGUGCUAGGCGAUUAAUCUUGUGGGUCUCAGUUUCUUAUAUAUCAAUCUGAAACCAUCAAUUUGCAAAUUCUUCCUUGCUUAUGUUACCCCAUGGGUGAGUAUGGACAACUUGAUUAAUUGUCUCCCAGGCUUUACCUGAUACACUUUGAUGAGCUUACAUUAGAACUGGAAUUGAUUUUUUAAAGUUAAAUGUUGUAUGAGAUGCUCUAGUUUGUCAUUUUGUACCGUAACUUAUCAUGUAUCUGCGUGGCCCAUACAAUACAGUUAUGAGCAACUGAAGGUUUCAUAUCACCAAGGUUUUACAAAAGUAAAAGGUUUCUGUUUGGUGGGCAUAUUACGUCAAUAUACUUUUAUUGUAGAUUACACAAGGGCCAUGACAUGGCAUGUGCUUGGUGCUCUUUAAGCUGCUUAUCUUGAAGAUAAGCAAAGUUCUGUUUGGUCCAAUGAUGUUUUCUGUUGGUGGGUUACUCAGGCAAGAUUGAUUGUGUUCGGUUCAUAAUCACUUAGUCACCUAGCCCACCUGUCAUUCUCUUUUGGCUAAAUUGCCACAAUUGUGUCCAUCACACUUUGGCCAACCAAGUAACCAUAUGCCAUGACUCUCGAUUCAUGUUCCUUUGUGUGCGGGCGCCGCACGGGGUUGGGGUGGUAGGAUUCCUUGCGGUUUCGGACGAGGCUCGCGUUGGCGGGGAGGGAUGCGCGAAACUGCCUGCCGAGCGUCCUGAUUUCCGAUGGAUGCUUGGGAAUUGUGAAGAUCUUUUUGGUUGUGUUGUGCCGUACCGUGUCCUCAUCGGUGGCUGGUGCGUGUACCCGCCGCCCAUGGCAGAUAGUAGGGGAGCUCUCUGUCCGUCCGCGCCGCCGGCGACGAAGGAGGAAACGACGAGGAGUCAUUUUUUUAGAAUGGGGCAUGGGAGGAUUCGAGCGGAGCAGGAAGAUGGCGAGAUGAUGAGCCUUAAUGGUGAUGGUAUUUGAGGUUGACAGUGGGCCUCUUAAUUGUGUUAGAUGUACAUUAUGGAGGCCCAGUCGGGAAAGCCCACUGAGAGCCACUGCUGUCUGACGGGUGGGCGCACACAGAUGGCCCCUCUAGGAGACGGAGAGGGAGAUGGCGGCGGCGGCGGCAGGUGCGGCGUGGCAUCAUAUUCGCGGUCAGCGAUGGCGAGAGCGCGCCGCGUAGGAGGAUGGUUGGGAGGCUGAGCGACAGGCAGCGUCGUGGCGCAUGGCCGCACCCGCACCACAGGUGAAGCAGCAGCCGCUAGGGAGCUGAGGCAAGCCGCAAUCGUCCCUUAGUUUCUGUAUACUUCUCUUGUCAGCUGUCACCAUAAUUGUCAACAGAAAUUGCCAGUUUUGGUUGCUAAUCCCGCAGGUUAGCACAGUAGGCCGAAAAACGUUGUAUCAGCCGCUUUGGCUCUUCUUCUAAGAAAAUGAUGCAUCUUUCCAUGUUUAUUCUAGAAAGAACAAAAGUAGGAGAUGCUAGCUUUGUAAAAUUAUUCUCAGAUGGUGCGACACUGCGACUGCUCCGUAAAAAUGUGCAACUCAAGCAGAAAUGUUGUGUGUGCGUUAGUUUAGAGGGAAUUGUUUGGCCAUGACCCUAAAAACAGGAACCUAUUUGACCAUCAAUUUGACCUUGCAAUGUUUUUCAAAUUUAUCCAUGAAUUUGAAUUUGAUUGGAUUGGAUUGCAUGACAUAGUAGUUAAAUGGAUGUUUGGUUUGUCUACACAAAGACCGGUAUGUUUGAUUCAAGUGAUUGCCAUAUCAUCCUUACAUUUCCCCUAUCAGUUUACCAUUGUGAUUAUAUUAGUGUAUUUGCCUUGGCAUUAUGGCAAUGUCCCUCAUUGUAUCCAUGAAAUGCUUGUUUUAUUUGCGUGCACUGUAAUAUGUUUUUGGGAGUCUAUUUCUGCUCAGCUACGUUUAAGAUACUGUUCCUUUAUGCAUAGGAUACAAUGCUUAUAAUAUAUAGUUGUUUAGCUGCUAACUCAUCACACUGGUGUGUGGUUUCGCAGAUUCACACGGCAAUCAUUUUGUACAACUACUCUGGUCAUGAGUAAUGUUAAUGUAACAUAUAAUGGAUCUUUCCAUUUUAUGGCUUCUCCAUACGUUUUCAACCCCAGUCUCUCGAAUCCUUGGUGCUUAAUAGAAAAAUCACGGUGCUAGUCAAUGUAGGUUAUGCGGAAUGGCCUCACAUGAAUGAGCCUACCCAGUCUUAUCUUGUGUAACUUAACAGUUGAAGUAGUAAUAAUUGCAGCAGGUUUUUGAUGUUCACCUAGUGUUGCCAUGCAUAAAAGAUUUAAAAAAAACAAGAUAAAUAUUGGUAGGAUGUUGGUGCUCAAAUUUGACCAUGUGAUAUUGUGAUGCGAUUCUAACUUCUGCCUGGUCUGACUCCUGUGUGUACGGUGAGGAGUGCAGAUCUACUGCCUUUUGUAGUUCUGUAUGCUAAUGGGAAACCAUAUAUAAGAUGAAGGCCCUUGUGUUUCGCUGAGGUAUGUGCAUUAAUCUUGACAUUAUUGUCAGUCGAAACUGUGUCCCUUACAUUCUACUCCCUCCGUUCCUAAAUAUUUGUCUUUCUAGAGAUUUCAACAAGUGACUACAUACAGAGCAAAAUGAGUGAGUCCACGCUCUAAAAUAUGUCUAUAUACAUCUGUAUGUGGCAGUCCAUUUGAAAUCUCUAAAAAGACAAAUAUUUAGGAACGGAGGGAGUAGUAUUCUAUACCUGAUACUUACGUUACCAAUUCUUUUGAGCUUUGGUCUGCACAUCCUUUGUAUCAAUAUCGUUGUGUUCCCAAGUUGUGACUCUUACAUAAGUACUUAUGGCAGUUGUCAACCCUUGUUGAUUGUCUCAUUGGUUGUUUGCAUAACUUUCAUGUUCUUACUGAGCUAGAGUUUACAUGCUAGAAUCUGCAUGCAGAAUAGAGAAUACAUCCCUUUGCUCUAUUCUUUUCUGCUAUGUUUCACUUCCAGUAGGUUGUGUGUUAUCUAUUGUUUAUAUAUCACACAUCUUGCAAAUAUAAGUGUAGCAUUUAUUCAUUUCAUAUCCAGCAUCUGCCAGGUAACUUUUACCUGAAUAUUGAGAUAAGUGCCUUGUAUUGUUACUACUAUUUUUCCUUUUUUUUAAGUAUUUUAGUGCAUCAACUUUGUUCCCUAGAUGAUUGAUUUCAAACUUUGUACAGUUAGCAUAAUCCGUUAUUUUGUUUGUCUCACUAUCCCAAAAUGUCAGUGUUAUAGCACGAAAUUGACACUUGUUUGGUUGUGGGCUGGAAAUAAACAGUGGCGCUUCUUUUUGCAGGUUAUUUGUUUGACAUGUAUGACCGAUACUUAGUCAAAUUGGACCUCCAGUUCCUUCCUGGUCCGUCCAAGGUAAACUGAUGGCUCGUGCUAGGCGAUUAAUCUUGUGGGUCUCAGUUUCUUAUAUAUCAAUCUGAAACCAUCAAUUUGCAAAUUAUUCCUUGCUUAUGUUACUCCAUGGGUGAGAAUGGACAACUUGAUUAAUUGUUUCCCAGGCUUUACCUGAUACACUAUGAUGAGCCUAUAUUAGAACUGGAAUUGAUUUUUUAAAGUUAAAUGUUGUAUGAGAUGCUCUAGUUUGUCAUUUUGUACCGUAACUUAUCAUGUAUCUGCGUGGCCCAUACAAUACAGUUAUGAACAACUGAAGGUUUCAUAUCACCAAGGUUUUACAAAAGUAAAAGGUUUCUGUUUGGUGGGCAUAUUACGUCAAUAUAGUUUUAUUGUAGAUUACACAAGGGCCAUGACAUGGCAUGUGCCUGGUGCUCUUUAAGCUGCUUACCUUGAAGAUAAGCAAAGUUCUGUUUGCUCCAAUGAUGUUUUCUGUUGUUGGGUUACUCAAGCAAGAUCGAUUGUGUUCGGUUCAUAAUCACUUAGUCACCUAGCCCACUUGUCAUGCUCUUUCGGCUAAAUUGCCACAAUUGUGUCCAUCACACUUCGGCCAACCAAGUAACUAUAUGCCAUGACUCUCGAUCCAUGUUCCUUUGUGUGUGGGCGCCGCACGGGGUUGGGGUGGUAGGAUUCCUUGCGGUUUAGGGCGAGACUUGCGUUGGCAGGGGAGGGAUGCGCGAAACUGCCUGGCGAGUGUCCUGAUUUCCGGUGGAUGCUUGGGAAUUGUGAAGAUCUUUUUGGUGGUGUUUUGUCGUACCGUGUCCUCAUCGGUGGCGGGUGCGUGUACCCGCCGCCCAUGGCAGAUAGUAUGGGAUCUCUCUGUCCAUCCGUGCCACCGGCGAGGUAGGAGGAAACGGCGAGGAGUCAUUUUUUUAGAAUGGGGCAUGGGAGGAUUUGAGCGGAGGAGGAAGAUGGCGAGAUGAUGAGCCUUAAUGGUGAUGAUAUUUGAGGUUCGCAGUGGGCCUCUUAAUUGUGUUAGAUGUACAUUAUGGAGGCCCAGUCGGGAAAGCCCACUAAGAGACACUGCUGUCUGACGGGUGGGCGCACACAGAGGGCCCCUCUAGGAGACGGAGAGGGAGAUGGCGGCGGCGGCAGGUGCGGCGUGGCAUCGUAUUCGCGGUCAGCGAUGGCAAGAGCGCGCCGCGUAGGAGGAUGGUUGGGAGGCGGAGCGACAGGUAGCGUCGUGGCGCAUGGCCGCACCCGCACCACGGGUGAAGCAGCAGCCGCUAGGGAGCUGAGGCAAGCCGCAAUCGUCCCUUAGUUUCUGUAUACUUCUCUUGUCAGCUGUCACCGUAAUUGUCAAUAGAAGUUGCCAAUUUUGGUUGCUAAUCCCGCAGGUUAGCACGGUAGGCCGAAAAACGUUGUAUCAGCCGCUUUGGCUCUUCUUCUAAGAAAAUGAUGCAUCUUUCCAUGUUUAUUCGAGAAAGAACAAAAGUAGGAGAUGCUAGCUUUGUAAAAUUAUUCUCAGAUGGUGCGACACUGCACUGCUCCGUAAAAAUGUGCAACUCAAGCAGAAAUGUUGUGUGUGCGUUAGCUUAGAGGGAAUUGUUUGGCCAUGACCCUAAAAAAAGGAACCUAUUUGCCCAUCAAUUCGACCUUGCAAUGUUUUUCAAAUUUAUCCAUGAAUUUGAAUUUGAUUGGAUUAGAUUGCAUGGUGCAUGUAGCUCCCGCUUGCGCAGGGUCCAGGGAAGGGUCCGACCACUUUGGGUCUAUAGUAUGCAGCCUUUCCCUACAACCUCUUACAGAAAUGUAGGGAAAGGCUGCGUACUAUAGACCCAAAGUGGUCGGACCCUUCCCUGGACCCUGCGCAAGCGGGAGCUACAUGCACCAGGUUGCCCUUUUUUUUUAGAUUGCAUGGCAUAGUACUCCCUCCGUCCGGAAUUACUUGUCGCGAAAAUGAAUAAAAAUAGAUGUAUCUAGAAUUAAAAUAUGUCUAGAUACAUCCAUUCUUCCGACAAGUAUUUCCGGACGGAGGGAGUAGUUAAAUGGAUGUUUGGUUUGUCUACACAGAGACCGGUAUGUUUGAUUCAAGUCAUUGCCAUAUCAUCCUUACAUUUCCCCUGUCAGUUUACCAUUGUGAUUAUAUUAGUGUAUUUUCCUUGGCAUUUAUGGCAAUGUCCCUCAAUGUAUCCAUGAAAUGCUUGUUUUAUUUGCAUGCACUGUAAUAUGUUUUUGGGAGUCUAUUUCUGCUCAGCUACGUUUUAGAUACCGUUCCUCUGUGCAUAGGAUACAAUGCUUAUAAUAUAUAGCUGUUUAGCUGCUAACUCAUCACACUGGUGUGUGGUUUCGCAGAUUCACACGGCAAUCAUUUUGUACAACUACUCUGGUCAUGAGUAAUGUUAAUGUAACAUAUAAUGGAUCUUUCCAUUUUAUGGCUUCUCCUUACGUUUUCAACCCCAGUCUCUCGAAUCCUUGGUGCUUAAUAGAAAAAUCACGGUGCUAGUCAAUGUAGGUUAUGAGGAAUGGCCUGACAUGAAUGAGCCUACCCAGUCUUAUCUUGUGUAACUUAACAGUUGAAGUAGUAAUAAUUGCAGCAGGUUUUUGAUGUUCACCUAGUGUUGCCAUGCAUAAAAGAUUAAAAAAAAUAGGAUAAAUAUUGGUAGGAUGUUGGUGCGCAAAUUUGAC
rnacentral:lncRNA from 1 species